rnacentral:lncRNA from 1 species
CAUCCGGAUUCCUACGAGAGCCAGACUUCGUCCCCGACUCCAUCUGCAGGUAGACUUCAUCCGGACUCCUACGGGAGUCGGACUUCAUUUUCGACUCCAACUGCAGGUAGGCUUCAUCUGGACUCCUACGAGAGCCGGACUUCGUCUCUGACUCUGGCUGCAGGAAGACUUCAUCCAGACUCCUACGGGAGUCGGACUUCGUCCCUGACUCC